AGAGAGUACAGAGAAAAAACCAUUGUCUUUCUCAUAUCAACACACACAAAGAAACAGACACACGUGUACACAAACACACUUGCCAGUCUGUCAAUAUUUCAUUUGAUUAACAAGAACCA
rnacentral:misc_RNA from 1 species